rnacentral:rRNA from 1 species
UACAGAGGUCUCAAGCGUUGUUCGGAUUCAUUGGGCGUAAAGAGCGCGUAGGCGGCCAGAUAAGUCCGGUGUGAAAGUCACAGGCUCAACCUGUGAAUGCCGCUGGAAACUGUCUGGCUAGAGUCCGGGAGAGGUGAGUGGAACUGCGAGUGUAGAGGUGAAAUUCGUAGAUAUUCGCAAGAACACCAGUGGCGAAGGCGGCUCACUGGCCCGGUACUGACGCUGAGGUGCGAAAGCGUGGGGAGCAAACAGG